UACGUAGGGGGCAAGCGUUGUCCGGAAUUAUUGGGCGUAAAGAGCGCGUAGGCGGUCCGGUAAGUCGGCUGUGAAAGUCAAGGGCUCAACCCUUGAAAGCCGGCCGAUACUGUCGGACUAGAGUCCGGAAGAGGCGAGUGGAAUUCCCGGUGUAGCGGUGAAAUGCGCAGAUAUCAGGAGGAACACCGAUGGCGAAGGCAGGUCUCUGGGCCGAUACUGACGCUGAGGAGCGAAAGCGUGGGGAGCGAACAGG
rnacentral:rRNA from 1 species